CCAAGGAGUCUAACAUGUGCGCGAGUCACUCGGUCUUGAAUAGGCCAGAGAGGCGCAAUGAAAGUAAUGUUGAUUGAGUUACGAUCCUUAUGCAGUUAUCCGUAUGGGUAACGGUAAGGCGCAGUAACAGCCCGCCAAUUUCGCUUAUUGACGAUAUGGCGGAGUUGUAGCGUACACGUUGGUACCCGAAAGAUGGUGAACUAUGCCUGGGCAGGACGAAGCCAGAGGAAACUCUGGUGGAGGUUCGUAGAAAUUUUGACGUGCAAAUCAAUUUUCAGACCUGGGUAUAGGGGCGAAAGACUAAUCGAACCAUC
rnacentral:rRNA from 1 species